rnacentral:rRNA from 1 species
UACGGAGGGUGCGAGCGUUGUCCGGAAUCACUGGGCGUAAAGGGCGCGUAGGCGGCUUGUCGCGUCGGCUGUGAAAUCCCGUGGCUCAACUGCGGGUCUGCAGCCGAUACGGGCAGGCUAGAGUUCGGUAGGGGAGACUGGAAUUCCUGGUGUAGCGGUGAAAUGCGCAGAUAUCAGGAGGAACACCGGUGGCGAAGGCGGUGAUCUGGGCCGAUACUGACGCUGUAGAGCGAAAGCGUGGGGAGCGAACAGG